rnacentral:miRNA from 8 species
AAAGGAAAGUGUAUCUUAAAAG